GGGGAGAAAGGAGGGAGUAAAAAGGAGGGAGUAAAAAGGAGGGAGCAGCCCGGUUAUUAAAGUCCAAACACAGAGAGAUGAAAAAACUCUGCAGACUAAAAAUCCAGCUGCUGUUACAGUUGUUGGGAGGCUUUUGAUAAACACAGAAAAUGUCACAUACGGGAAUGUUGUGCGACCAAUAAGCAUCCAGCAGGUUUAUUUUGGCAGGCUGACUGCGCAUGGCUACAGUCAAUAUGGAAACAUUACGGAGAGAAUUAGCGAACAAAUUGUGGGCACGUCAGGUUAGUACGCCACCGAGGCGACAGCCCGGGGAUCCAGAAACACUGUAACAACACAGGAAACUCGUGCCAUAACUUUACGACUGCGAGCCAGACAGUAAACAAACCGGACAGGAGCCAAUGGGAGCUCAAGAUCAUCGCUGUGACAUUCGGAAAGGGCUGAAAACUGAGCGCCGUGGUCCCGCCCACCAUUGACUUUGUUCAGUGGGCUGCUGGAGGAGGAGGUCACAGACAUGGAAGCAGACGAAAACUUUGGAUGGUGAAAAAGCGGUUUGUUUUCCUCAUCAACCUGAAUAUGUCAAAGUAAUCCAUUGGUUUUUUUUAAUUUAUUUUUUUUAUGUCUCCACUGACAUUGUGCUUGGACAACGCUGGGAAUGCUGCCAACAGGAAGCAGCAGUCAGUUUGAACUGACUGGAUCACUGCAGGCGACAAUAUUUAAUAAGUAAAUGUUGGGUUUAGAUUUCUAUCUUUUAACUUUUGAUCAAUCAUUCAUUUUUAUAUUGACAGGAAAAGUUUGUGUAUCAGUGUUGCUUUUUUUCUAUUUCACAAUGUUUAACUUUUGGUACUUUUAAACAUUUUAAAAUAGGCAUUUUUUUUAUUUAUUAUUAUUGGUUUACAUUAUAUUUGUAUUCAGAUUUGUGUUAUACUUACAUUGUAAACCUUGUACAAUCUGCUGUGGUGAUACUGCAUUUAAUUAUGGUCAUGCAAAUAAAAUUUCAUUUAAUUGGAAAUUUUUUAGGCUACUUUUUUAUAGUAAGUAAUCGAAUUAUGAAGAUAGUAUUACAGAUGUUGUCUUGAAAAUGGCCUAAAAGCUGCUAUAAUGCACUUUAAGUCAAUUAGACUGACUUAUUACUGUCCUAUUACAGUUUAACUGUAAUUUAUGGACUAACAUAUUAAGGAGAGAGACAGAAAGACAAGGAGCCUGGAAGAACAUCUAUGAAGAAUUGUGCAACAGGGCAAUAAAUGUUCCCUCCUUUAAACCAGGACUAAAUUAUUAUUAUUACUCUGUAGAGGAUGUCUCCCACUUUGAAGGUUCACUUUAGAGCUACAUUCUGCAACAAACUUAGUCAGUUCUGUGUAACAGAAAUAAAGUCAGUUUGUUUAUAA